rnacentral:rRNA from 1 species
UGCCUAACACAUGCAAGUCGAACGAGAAAGUGGAGCUUGCUUCACAAGUAAAGUGGCAAACGGGUGAGUAACACGUGAACAACCUACCCUCGAGUGGGGAAUAACACCUGCGAAAGCGGUGCUAAUACCGCAUAAUAUCUCUGAAUCGCAUGGUUUUUGAGAUCAAAAGCUUCGGUUGCUUGAGGAGGGGUUCGCGCCUGAUUAGCUUGUUGGUGAGUGUGACGGCUCACCAAGGCUGCGAUCAGUAGCCGGCCUGAGAGUGGUGAACGGCCACACUGGAACUGAGACACGGUCCAGACUCCUACGGGAGGCAGCAGUGGGGAAUUUUGCGCAAUGGGCGAAAGCCUGACGCAGCAACGCCGCGUGGAGGAUGAAGGCCCUCGGGUCGUAAACUCCUGUCAGUGGGGAAGAAUGCU